GCCACAUGAUGACCUGUAGAUGCCGAAGCCUCCGGGCCUUGAGGACCUUUUAUCUAUCACCCUUGUCUGAUGGCU